CCCAUGCAGUUCUUUAAAGAUUUAUUUCAUUUGUUUUUGACUCGUGCUAUCUUAUGUGUAUGAAUAUUUUGCUUGCAUGUAUGUGCAUGCCAGGUCAGAAGAGUAGAUUGGAUCUCCUGAAACUGGAGUUACAGACGAUUGUCAGCCACCUUGUGGGUGCUGGGAACAGAACCUGGCUCCUCUGGAAGAGCAGCAAUGAUGCAGAGCUGCCAUCCUGCCUGGGCAACUCCACCACGCAGUCCUUCGAACUCCUUGCUGCACUUGUUAAGUGAUGUUCCAGUUUCUUCCCAAAGGUGAAUUGAACUCACUGGGCUGGAGCUCAGGCACCAGCACUGCCUGAAGAACUCCUCGUGGACUUGUAAUGGCACAGUAAGUAAAGGGCUUAAUGACCAAGCCUGAUGACCCACAGUCAAUCUCUGGGACACACACAGUGAGAGGAGAGAGCCAUCUCCCACAAACUGUCUUCUGACUUCUUCUCCAUGUAUGCUGUGAUGAUGCACGAGUGUGUGUGUGUGUGUGUGUGUGUGUGUGUGUGUGUGUGUGUGUGGUUCACAUGCACACAUGCACAAGGAUGAAAGACUGUAUGAAUAUAUAAAUAUAAUAUAAAUUAUAAAAAAAGCUCCCUGACUGAUUCUGUGUGUGGCCAGCAUUGAGAAACACUGGAUUAGGAGACUGAAGAAGAGAAUGGAAAAGGAUUGAUUCUGGAUCAGCCUCUUUGUGGUCCCCUCCCAUUUCCCCUCCAAGGUUGACAGUUUGGCCACUGAGUGCCCUAGAUCCAAUGAGCCCAAACCUCUGAGAUGUCUUCCACCUCUUGCUCCAGGGGUUCUGGCUGGGCCUAGUGUAAAUGGUCAGACCUCAGGAUGAAAACAAGUCGCUGAUGGCCUCAGGCUGUUGGAUUUCCACUGCCUCCCUAAGGGAAGCCAUGUUCUAUAGCUGUCUUCAUACUUCUGCCUGUGGUUAGAGCACAUUUGGUGGUGUCCUGCCCCAAGAUUCACCUAUUGGUUCCCGGUCUCCCUGGGAGCCAACUAGUCAGGCUGAUGUCUAGACAGGGAGAAUUUCCAACUAGGAAGCUAUCCUAAGGCAUCCAGCAUGCCAGCUGCUAGAGCAGGGGCAACAAAAUAAAAGGGCUCCGACAGCCUGUCCUGGGCCCUCC
rnacentral:lncRNA from 1 species